UAGAAUUCGGAUUUCCUUCUUAGUGGAUAGAACCAGGUAAAACUGGUACAGUCAUCAACAAACACUACAUAGUAUAUCAAGUGCUAAGAUGAUUCAACAUGAGCUAGACCCCAAAGAUCACAAUGGAUUUUAAAUAGAGGCUCUUUUUCAAUCUUAUUUCUCAAUUCAAAUGGAAGCUUACAUCCUUUUCCUAACUGAUAACCGACACAAAUAGUAGGAACUUUAUUCUGGUACUUGACAUCAAUACACUUGUUACUACUAAGAGUCUUUAAAGACUUUAAGCUAGGGUGACCUAAUCUAGCAUGCCAAAUACUAUAUGUAUUCUUCCACUCCUUUGAUGCAGAUAAGACAUAAAAAUUAUUGUCUUCCAGUGCAUAUAGAACAUUCUUCUUAGAUCCCUUGACCAAAAGUCUCCCUGAGCUCUUGUCUUUUACAACAAAAUUAGAUUCAUCAAACUCAAGUAUACAAGAAUUGUCCUUAGCAAGUUUACUAACUGACAACAACUUCUUCUUAAUCUUAGAAACAACAAGGAUUUCCUUUACUUUAAGUCCAGAUAUUAUUGUAUUUCCAAUAUGUGUGAUGUCAAUUUUAGAGUCAUCCCCAACUAUUAUCUUAUUAGAACCAUUAUAAGGUUGAAAGUUUGAUAGAUUGCCUGUUGAAUUGGUUAUGUAACUGCUUGCACCAUAGUCAAAAUACAUAGCUUCAUCUUUAGCCUAUGUAUUUUGCAGAUUAAUAGCAGAAAAAACCUGUAGCAGAUCCUCUAUAGCCUGGUAAGAAUAGUCCUACAUGUAGAAGCAUUUUUAAGGUUAUGUGAUUGUUUCUUCCACAUAUUUGGAAAAUUUCAUUGCCCUGUUGUGGUCUUGAAUUUGCAGUGUCCUGAUUAGUUUGAUUAUUCUUAUUGUUGCAUUGUCCUGCAGAUCUGAAACCUCUUCCUCUUGAGGAGAAGUUUGAGUUUCCUCUUCUGUUAGAGUAACCUCCACGGCCUCUUCUUCUUUUAGUAGAAAAGGCCAUAUUGUAGCCUUUUUGAACCACUUAUUCUUCAUCUUCUCUCAUUUCAAAACCUCUAAUAACAUUUACAAACUAGUUCAGUGUAGGAUAUGGGGUCAUUCCCAAUAUGACAGUCCCAAAAGUUUUGUACUUUUGACCAAGUCGUCUAACAAAGUUGAUUACUUUGCUGUUUUCAUCAACAUGAUUGUGUAUGGCUCAGAGACCAUCACAUAUGCCUUUGAAUUCCUUCAAGUAUUCAUCAAGCUUUUUGGUUCCUAACUUGAUGUUCUGUAGUUAUUGCUUAAGCUGAAAUUCUUUAUCCUUGGUUGCCUGCAGAUAUACUUCCUCCAGACAUUCCCACAUUUCCUUGGCAGUUGAGCAUCCCACUAUGAGGUACAUACUUUCUUCAGUCAUUGUAGCUGAGAUCCAACUCCUCAGAAGCAUAUCGUUUUUCUUCCAGUCGACAAUCUUGUCAGCACCAUCAACAGCAGAUGAACUACAUGUGUCUGGCUUGCCUUCCUGGAUCAGGUUUAUCAGCUUCUUUACCUGAAUCAACUGGAGUAUUUGUGUUCUCCAAAAUCAAGUAGUUUGAUGGCUUCAAAUUAACUGGACAAGAGGCAAUCGGAUGGUACAGGGAAGCAGGUGAUAGACACAAAGAGGUUGAGGGUAUUGUUAUGACCAUGUUUGAUCGUGUGGGUAACGUAGCUUCAAGAAGCUCUGCUACCAUGUAGAAAGUCACACUGUUGAGAGGAAAAUUGUAUCGAAGAAUCGUGUAUUUAAGAUGUAUUACAAAGCCAUACGUGAAUGAAUUCAUACAAGUCACAAAACAACUACUACAAUUGAACUUAGAGUUCUACUACUUGUAUAACUAUUACAUUGAGUUAGAGUUCUAACUCUACAAUACAUAUGCUUAUCAAUUCAAAUUUAUCUUUAUCAUGAUCAACUUCUUCAACAUAUGCCUCGAUUACUCUCUAAAAUCUUGUCUAAGAUCAACAAUAUCUCAAGAAAGAAUAAAUAAGUUCGCUAUAUUAUCAAUUGAAAAGAAAUUAUUAGAGAAAAUCGAUUAUAAAAAAAAUUAUUAACAACUUUGUGUCUCAAAAAA
rnacentral:lncRNA from 1 species